rnacentral:rRNA from 1 species
AACGAACGCUGGCGGCAGGCUUAACACAUGCAAGUCGAGCGCCCCGCAAGGGGUUCGGCAGGCGGGUGAGGAACGCGUGGGGACGUACCCUUUGGUUCGGACCAACUCCGGGAAACUGGAGCCAAUACCGGAUAAGCCCUAACGCGGAAAGAUUGAUCGCGGUAGGAUCGGCCCGCGUCUGAUUAGCUUGUUGGUGAGGUAACGGCGCACCAAGGCAACGAUCAGUAGCUGGUCUGAGAGAAUGAUCAGUCACACUGGGGCUGAGACACGGCCCAGACUCCUACGCGAGGGAGCAGUGGGGAAUAUUGGACAAUGGGCGCAAGCCUGAUCCAGCCAUGCCGGGUAAGUGAUGAAGGCCUUAGGGUAGUAAAGUUCUUUUGUCCGGGGAGAUAAUGACGUUACCGGAAGAAUAAGCCCCGGCUAACUUCGUG